rnacentral:rRNA from 1 species
CAAAGGAAGCGAUUCCGGCGGGGGAUGGGCAUGCGGCGCAUUAGCUAGUCGGCGGGGUAACGGCCCACCGAGGCGACGAUGCGUAGGGGUUCUGAGAGGAAGGUCCCCCACACUGGUACUGAGACACGGACCAGACUCCUACGGGAGGCAGCAGUGAGGAAUAUUGGUCAAUGGGCGGGAGCCUGAACCAGCCAAGUCGCGUGAGGGAAGACGGUCCUAUGGAUUGUAAACCUCUUUUGCCGGGGAGCAACGGGGUCCUUGCGAGGGCCUAAUGAGAGUACCCGGAGAAAAAGCAUCGGCUAACUCCGUGCCAGCAGCCGCGGUAAUACGGAGGAUGCGAGCGUUAUCCGGAUUUAUUGGGUUUAAAGGGUGCGUAGGCGGGCUGUUAAGUCAGCGGUCAAAUGUCGGGGCUCAACCCCGGCCUGCCGUUGAAACUGGUGGCCUCGAGUGGGCGAGAAGUAUGCGGAAUGCGUGGUGUAGCGGUGAAAUGCAUAGAUACCACGCAGAACUCCGAUUGCGAAGGCAGCAUACCGGCGCCCGACUGACGCUGAGGCACGAAAGCGUGGGUAUCGAACAGGAUUAGAUACCCUGGUAGUCCACGCAGU